UUCAGUGCAGAAGAUUUGAUAAGAAUUAAACAUGACUCUACCAGGAACCCAUUAUCCUCCAGUGCCACCAUAUUCCAGAACUGCAAGCUACCUGGAGUGACCAAAAGUACAAGGUUUUCAGAGACAUAGGCAAGGUAAGGAAGGCUGAAACAGGACCCACCACUGAUCAAGACUCAAGUUGACAGGAUGGGCCCCUAAGAAAUAUGUGAAGAUAGAUUUUGAAAGAUUUUAUAGCCAGAAUAAAUGAGUGACUCUUGAUUGACCAGAUUGCU